AUGAACGCUAGCUACAGGCUUAACACAUGCAAGUCGAGGGGCAGCAUGAACUUAGCUUGCUAAGUUUGAUGGCGACCGGCGCACGGGUGAGUAACACGUAUCCAACCUGCCGAUGACUCGGGGAUAGCCUUUCGAAAGAAAGAUUAAUACCCGAUGGCAUAGUUCUUCCGCAUGGUAGAACUAUUAAAGAAUUUCGGUCAUCGAUGGGGAUGCGUUCCAUUAGGUUGUUGGCGGGGUAACGGCCCACCAAGCCUUCGAUGGAUAGGGGUUCUGAGAGGAAGGUCCCCCACAUUGGAACUGAGACACGGUCCAAACUCCUACGGGAGGCAGCAGUGAGGAAUAUUGGUCAAUGGACGAGAGUCUGAACCAGCCAAGUAGCGUGAAGGAUGACUGCCCUAUGGGUUGUAAACUUCUUUUAUACGGGAAUAAAGUGAGGCACGUGUGCCUUUUUGUAUGUACCGUAUGAAUAAGGAUCGGCUAACUCCGUGCCAGCAGCCGCGGUAAUACGGAGGAUCCGAGCGUUAUCCGGAUUUAUUGGGUUUAAAGGGAGCGUAGGCGGACGCUUAAGUCAGUUGUGAAAGUUUGCGGCUCAACCGUAAAAUUGCAGUUGAUACUGGGUGUCUUGAGUACAGUAGAGGCAGGCGGAAUUCGUGGUGUAGCGGUGAAAUGCUUAGAUAUCACGAAGAACUCCGAUUGCGAAGGCAGCUUGCUGGACUGUAACUGACGCUGAUGCUCGAAAGUGUGGGUAUCAAACAGGAUUAGAUACCCUGGUAGUCCACACAGUAAACGAUGAAUACUCGCUGUUUGCGAUAUACAGUAAGCGGCCAAGCGAAAGCGUUAAGUAUUCCACCUGGGGAGUACGGCCGCAAGGUUGAAACUCAAAGGAAUUGACGGGGGCCCGCACAAGCAGCGGAGCAUGUGGUUUAAUUCGACGCAACGCGAAGAACCUUACCAGGUCUUGACAUCCACUUAAACUUACAGAGAUGUAAGGUGUGCUUGCACAAAGUGAGACAGGUGGUGCAUGGUUGUCGUCAGCUCGUGCCGUGAGGUGUCGGCUUAAGUGCCAUAACGAGCGCAACCCUUAUCGAUAGUUACCAUCAGGUUAUGCUGGGGACUCUGUCGAGACUGCCGUCGUAAGAUGUGAGGAAGGUGGGGAUGACGUCAAAUCAUCAUGCCCCUUAUGACUUGGGCUACACACGUGCUACAAUGGCGCAUACAAAGAGAAGCGACCUCGCGAGAGCAAGCGGACCUCAUAAAGUGCGUCGUAGUCCGGAUCGGAGUCUGCAACUCGACUCCAUGAAGUCGGAAUCGCUAGUAAUCGUGGAUCAGAAUGCCACGGUGAAUACGUUCCCGGGCCUUGUACACACCGCCCGUCACACCAUGGGAGUCGGUAACACCCGAAGCCCGUAGCCUAACAGCAAUGAGGGCGCGGUCGAAGGUGGGAUUGAUGACUGGGGUG
rnacentral:rRNA from 1 species